AUGCCAUGAUGAGGACAUCUCCUGAGCAACUCCUUAAAUCUUUCCCAAGCCUAUACAAGCUUUCAUCUUCUAGUUAAUGAAAAGAAGUGAUCUCAUUCCACAACUU
rnacentral:snoRNA from 1 species